CAGCUCAGUGGUAGAGCAUCUGCUUUGCAUGCAGAAGAUCCCUGGUUCCAUUCGCAGCAUCUGGA